rnacentral:rRNA from 1 species
UACGAAGGGUGCAAGCGUUAAUCGGAAUUACUGGGCGUAAAGGGUGCGUAGGCGGUUCGUUAAGUCUGUCGUGAAAUCCCCGGGCUCAACCUGGGAAUGGCGAUGGAUACUGGCGAGCUAGAGUGUGUCAGAGGAUGGUGGAAUUCCCGGUGUAGCGGUGAAAUGCGUAGAUAUCUGGAGGAACACCGGUGGCGAAGGCGGCAUCCUGGACCGACAUUGACGCUGAUGCGCGAAAGCCAGGGGAGCAAACGGG